GACGAACGCUGGCGGCGUGCUUAACACAUGCAAGUCGAACGGAAAGGCCCUGCUUGCAGGGUACUCUAGUGGCGAACGGGUGAGUAACACGCGGGUGAUCUGCCCUGCACUUCGGGAUAUGCCUGGGAAACUGGGUCUAAUACCGGAUAGGAGCCAUUUUUAGUGUGAUGGUUGGAAAGUUUUUUUGGUGUAGGAUGAGCUCGCGGCCUAUCAGCUUGUUGGUGGGGUUAUGGCCUACCAAGGCGGCGACGGGUAGCCGGCCUGGGAGGGUGGACGGCCACAUUGGGGCUGGGGUUCGGCCCAGACUCCCACGGGGGGCAGCAGUGGGGAAUAAUGCACCAUGGGGGCGAGCCUGGUGCAGCGACGGCGCGGGGGGGGAGAAGGGCUUCGGGUUGGAAACUCCUUUCGCUAGGGGAGGAGCUUUUUGUGACGGUACCUAGAUAAGAAGCACCGGCUAACUACGUG
rnacentral:rRNA from 1 species